UACGGGGGGGGCAAGCGUUGUUCGGAAUUACUGGGCGUAAAGGGCUCGUAGGUGGCCAACUAAGUCAGACGUGAAAUCCCUCGGCUUAACCGGGGAACUGCGUCUGAUACUGGAUGGCUUGAGUUCGGGAGAGGGAUGCGGAAUUCCAGGUGUAGCGGUGAAAUGCGUAGAUAUCGGGAGGAACAUCGAUGGCGAAGGCAAUCACCUGGGCCUGAACUGACACUGUGACACGAAAGCGUGGGUAGCAAACAGG
rnacentral:rRNA from 1 species